rnacentral:sRNA from 1 species
UGUUUUAUUUUAAAAUCGAACCAUGGAACGAAAGUAUUAAAGGACGGUAGCUUAGUACAAUCUGAAAGGGGUGGUGCCUAUGGGAAAUUUCUCAAGCACUCAGAUCCUAAUGAAAGGAAAAGCAAACUAUGAUGACAACAGCUGAAGCUCUGCAACUCAUGCUCGCAUUUGGAGCAUUUGUUGUAGCGUUGCUUAGCUUUGU